rnacentral:lncRNA from 1 species
GGAAAAGCAACCUAGAUCACAUUAUGGAUGUCGCAAUAAUACAAACCAAUGUACCUCUGACCUUCUCAUCAAGAGAGCUGGGGUGCUUUGAAGAUAAUCCCUACCCCUCUCCCCCAAAUGCAGCUGAAGCAUUUUACAGUGGUUUGCCAUUAGGGUAUUCAUUCAGAUAAUGUUUUCCUACUAGGAAUUACAAACUUUAAACACUUUUUAAAUCUUCAAAAUAUUUAAAACAAAUUUAAAGGGUCUGUUAAUUCUUAUAUUUUUCUUUACUAAUCAUUUUGGAUUUUUU